GACGAACGCUGGCGGCGUGCCUAAUACAUGCAAGUCGAGCGGAAGUUGGAGAGCUUGCUCUUCAACUUUAGCGGCGGACGGGUGAGUAACACGUGGGCAACCUGCCCUGCAAAUCGGGAUAACUCCGGGAAACCGGUGCUAAUACCGAAUAGUUUUCGCCACCUCCUGGUGGCGUACGGAAAGACGGUUUCGGCUGUCACUGCAGGAUGGGCCCGCGGCGUCAUUAGCUAGUUGGUGGGGUAACGGCCCACCAAGGCGACGAUGCGUAGCCGACCUGAGAGGGUGAUCGGCCGCACUGGGACUGAGACACGGCCCAGGCUCCUACGGGAGGCAGCAGUAGGGAAUCUUCCGCAAUGGACGAAAGUCUGACGGAGCAACGCCGCGUGAGUGACGAAGGUUUUCGGAUCGUAAAACUCUGUUGUGAGGGAAGAACAAGUACCAACUAACUACUGGUACCUUGACGGUACCUCACCAGAAAGCCACGGCUAACUACGUGCCAGCAGCCGCCGUAA
rnacentral:rRNA from 1 species